rnacentral:rRNA from 1 species
UACGAAGGUGGCUAGCGUUGCUCGGAAUUACUGGGCGUAAAGCGCACGUAGGCGGCUUUCUAAGUCGGGGGUGAAAUCCUGGAGCUCAACUCCAGAACUGCCUUCGAUACUGGAAAGCUCGAGUCCGGGAGAGGUGAGUGGAACUGCGAGUGUAGAGGUGAAAUUCGUAGAUAUUCGCAAGAACACCAGUGGCGAAGGCGGCUCACUGGCCCGGUACUGACGCUGAGGUGCGAAAGCGUGGGGAGCAAACAGG